ensembl:lncRNA
GGACUUAAAUGGGAGACAGGCCAACAUUUUUAUUCAGACCAUGUAUCAAAGGUUAUCUGCAGAUAACUAAUCUAUGUAAUGUGGUCUAGGCUGUUUUAUCUAUAUCAUAGUUAAUGGUUUAUUGGAUGAAAAGUACAGACUUUUAUACUAUGUAGUGUUGUGAGUGACUCCUACCCUAUUGUAAAGAGUGUCAGGUAGUUCCACCAUGUUCCAACCCAUUUUGAGAGGUGGUCCUACUUUAGUCUAAAAACAGACAGUAUGAGAUGUGGUAGUCAUGUCACAUUCUAACCAGUAGGAAGGCCUAGUAUAUUCUAAUCUAAUCAUUGUGAGAGUUAGUCCUCACGUAUUGUAACCAGAACGAGAUAGUCCUAACCAACGUAUUCUAAACAGAAUCAGAGGUAGGCCUACCGUAUACUAACCAGUUUGAGAGGUAGGCCUACCGUAUCCUAACCAGUAUUACAGGUUGGCCUACCGUAUCCUAACCAGUAUGAGAGGUUGGCCUACUGUAUUCUAACCAGUAUGAGAGGUUGGCCUACCGUAUCCUAACCAGUAUGAGAGGUUGGCCUACCGUAUCCUAACCAGUAUGAGAGGUUGGCCUACCGUAUCCUAACCAGUAUGAGAGGUAGGCCUACUGUAUUCUAACCAGUAUGAGAGGUUGGCCUACCGUAUCCUAACCAGUAUGAGAGGUUGGCCUACCGUAUCCUAACCAGUAUGAGAG